CAGCAGCCGCGGUAAUACGUAGGGUGCGAGCGUUAAUCGGAAUUACUGGGCGUAAAGCGUGCGCAGGCGGCUUUGCAAGACAGAGGUGAAAUCCCCGGGCUCAACCUGGGAACUGCCUUUGUGACUGCAAGGCUAGAGUACGGCACGAGGGGGAUGGAAUUCCGCGUGUAGCAGUGAAAUGUGUAGAUAUGCGGAGGAACACCGAUGGCGAAGGCAAUCCCCUGGGCCUGUACUGACGCUCAUGCACGAAAGCGUGGGGAGCAAACAGGAUUAGAUACCCUGGUAGUCCACGCCCUAAACGAUGUCAACUGGUUGUUGGACGGCUUGCUGUUCAGUAACGAAGCUAACGCGUGAAGUUGACCGCCUGGGGAGUACGGCCGCAAGGUUGAAACUCAAAUGAAUUGACGG
rnacentral:rRNA from 1 species